CUACGGGUGGCAGCAGUGAGGAAUUUUGCGCAAUGGGCGAAAGCCUGACGCAGCAACGCCGCGUGGGUGAUGAAGGCCUUUGGGUCGUAAAGCCCUGUCAAGUGGGAAGAACCCGCAUGGUGCGAAUAAUGCCAUGCGCUGACGGUACCACUGAAGGAAGCACCGGCUAACUCCGUGCCAGCAGCCGCGGUAAUACGGGGGGUGCAAGCGUUAUUCGGAAUUAUUGGGCGUAAAGGGCGCGAAGGCGGCCGUUUAAGUCAGAUGUGAAAGCCCGGGGCUUAACCUCGGGAGUGGAUUUGAA
rnacentral:rRNA from 1 species